AGCGAUGUCAUGAUUUCUACCGAGAUUAUACACAAAAGACAAAAAUCUCUUCCUCUCACUGUUCGAGGGAAAUAUUUGCAUUUUUACUAUGUAAGUUCUUUUUAACCUUUCUUAUUUUAAAACAUUGGAUAAUAUUUUCUUGUUAAAGCAGGAUAUUUAAAACUUUUUUCUGUAUUCAAUGUGCACACACCUUCCAGCCAGGACUGAACAACACUGUUCUGUCUCCCUGCUGGGCUGCACCUUGGGUGGGGCUCCCACACUAAGCAAGGGGAGGAGUCCACGCACCAAUGGGGGUUCUGUAAGGUAAUAGGAGAGGGGACUUCUUUUUAGAGCUGCCUUCUUAGAAGCCAAAGUGGCCUUGUAGAAUGGAGAGAACCCAGUUAUACCCAAAAACUGUCAGCCCAGCAUUGAGAUGCUGUUUAAAUACCUUAGCAAGAGCAGCCACAGUGUUUGUUCCUACAGGCAAAGCUCAGCCUCCCACACGAACCAGCUACCAGCUGCCCUCCUGGCUCUGGCAGGAGCCCCGGCUUCUGGCCCUCCCCAGCAGUGCCACAGCUCCUGGAUGAAUUCCCAGCAGCCUGGCUGUGGGCACUCAUUUCUUCUUUUCCUUUUUGAAGCUCAGGUGCCUUUUCUGAAGCAAACCGUGAGCUCCAGGCACUGUCAGCUUGCCUCUGUUUUUGGUGGAGGUGUGUCUGUCAGCCUGGGGUCCUCCGCUGCCUCUGGGGCCCGGGUGUCUUCUCUGUCAAAGGCUGUCAGCUUGUCUCUUCCUCUGACAGACACUGGCUCCUGCCAGAGAAACCCUGAGUGUUCCUACAAGGCUUCCAUGAGUUUGUUCAUCCCCAAGCCCACGUGCCACCCUUGAGUCUCCCCCAGGAAUCGGGGGUGACAGCUCUGCCCUCCUAGUGGUAACACAGUCCCAAGGUUCACCUGGAGACCCAAGAAAAGUGGCCUCUGCACCUUCACGGCCCACAAGAAAAUGCAUGUUCCGUGCCCGUAAUGUUCCAGGCACCACUAGCAAAGACACAGCCGAACCCCAUGCCAGGCAGGUGAGAAGCAGUCAGCCCCACAUCAGCCUGGUCAUCUCAGGUGGAAACAGGUGUGUGCACGAUGACCAGACAGGUGGCUUCUGGCACCCUACGAAGGGCUUCAGAAGCCUCAGCAGUUAGCAUGGGUGAUACAGUUUAGGUCUCUGUCCCUGCCCAGAUCUCAUGUUGAGUUGUAAUCCUAAUAAUGGAGUUGGGGCCUGGAAGGAGGUGAUAGGAUUAUGGAGACGAAUUUCUCAUAAGUUGUUUAACACCAUCCAUGCACUAUCCUCGCCAUAGUGAGUGAGUUCUUACGAGAUCGGGUUGUUUAAAGGUGUGUGGCACCUCCCCCUCUGUCUCUUCCUCCUGCUCUUGUCAUGUGACGUGCCUGCUUCUCACCUCUUCCUUCCGACAUGAUUGUAAGUUUCCUGAGGCCUCCCCAGAGGCCGCAAAUGCCAGCAUCAUUCUUCCUGUGCAGCCUGCAGAACCGUGAGCCCCUUAAAACUCUUUUCUUUAUAAAGUACCCAGUCUCAGGCAUUUCUUUAUAGCAGUCCAAGAACGGCGUAAUACAAUGAG
rnacentral:lncRNA from 1 species